UACGUUUUAGUAUAUUAUGUAUGAGAGUUUUUGAUACUUUAGGUAAUAGAGUGUUCUAUUAAACGUAU
rnacentral:tRNA from 1 species